ensembl:lncRNA
GCUAAUUUUUUGAGAAGGACCUGUAUGGCUAUUACUGUUGUUGUUGUUGUUGUUGUUAUUAUUACUAUUAGGGAUGUCAAAUUUUAACUUAAAAAUUUAUUAAUCAUUAUCCUCAAUGCUGCUAAAUGCUUCUAUUUCAUCGGCACGCAGUCACCAGCAUGACAGGAUGUGCAAUAACCACUCUCAAAUGUUUUCUCACCCGAAAUAAAGGGGUUUUAGUCUUAAUAAAAAGCUAUUAGCAAAAUAAAAAAAAUACUGUCUAUUUAAACUGACCAGUGAUUUUGGUUGACUAUUUUAUUUUGAUAAUGAAUAGACUGCAAGGAAUUUUGGAGUAAGAUAUAAUCCGCAAAAGUGUUUGCUUUUAUUUUUGCACACUCACAAUAAAAACAAAAGAUGUGUGGUUUUGUGAAAUAAAGCAAACAAACAGUCAUCCUUUCCUUUCCAUGAGCUUGUUUGACCAGAACAAAGUAAGUGUAGGCUAUGUGGGCUUGAACGGCAUCCAAAAGCAUGGUCGCAAUGUAACAUUUUCUAGCUAACCAAUUAUUCCUCUAAUAAAAAAAGCUUUCAUACCACACUUGUCAUAAUCAGAGCUUAUAUUUUGUAAAUUAAUUAUUGCUGGAUUCAAAACCGCAAUUAAAGGGCGCGGUUAUCGACACUGAGAACACUUUUUUUCCCCGGAGCAUUCAAUAAUGUCACUAAACAGUGAGGCCACAACUAAGAACAUCAUUCACAAGUUUCUGCAUAGACCUAACUAGCCUAGGGCACAGGUUUUCCAAGCCCUGGGACAAAAUGGUAUGCUUUAAGGAAAAUGUACAGCCUAGGGCUAAUUGAUUUUUGGUAUUGUGAAAUCCCUACCUGCCAAGCCAGUAGCUGUAUUUAACCAUCUGCCAAUCUCACAGAAAAUUCACAGAUAUGUCUAAAAAUUAAGUAUUGUUACAUUUGGUUUAUCUCUUGUACAUUGUGCACUUUCUUAUCAUUCUAGUUAUAUAAUCCUGCAUAAUGUUCCUGUUAAUUUAUGAAAAUAUGAUGUUUGUGAUGGUGUCAGUGGAGAGACCAACAGCCACUGUGGCCAAUCAGAAGCAAGUUGUACUAACUGCAGAGGGAAAUGAAUCCCAGCUCCACCUCUCUGGGCGUCUAAUGGGGUGGAAGGAUAGAGUUGUGGGUAGGGUGAGGGUGUGGGUGGAUAUUCUGCCUCCACCCAUUAGGCACAAAUUAUAGUUGCUCCUCCUCACUGGACGUCUAGCGAG